CUGCGCGGAGUGGCGGCUUGCCGGCACUCCGCGCAGUUGCAGAACCAGCCGUAGCCCACAAAGCCGCGGUUCUUGAUUAAAAAACGACCAGCAGGGGCAACCGGGCUGGAGCCCGGACCAUCAGCGGGAUCCCAAGUGGCUUUGCCGAAGUCGCUGCUCUGGACUUUAAGCCACGGCGGUCUCCACGCCAGAUGGUGUCCCCUUACCGAGGGUGACCU
rnacentral:ncRNA from 1 species